UACGGGGGAUGCAAGCGUUAUCCGGAAUUAUUGGGCGUAAAGGGUCCUGAGGUGGCUAGCCAAGUCUAUUGUGAAAUAUCAGGGCUUAACCCUGAACAUGCGGUGGAAACUAGAAAGCUUGAGUACAGUAGGGGCGGAGGGAAUUUCCGGUGGAGCGGUGAAAUGCAUAGAUAUCGGGGAAGAACACCAACGGCGAAAGCACUCCGCUGGGCUGAUACUGACACUGACAGACGAAAGCUAGGGUAGCGAAAGGG
rnacentral:rRNA from 1 species